rnacentral:rRNA from 1 species
UAGGGAAUCUUCCACAAUGGACGCAAGUCUGAUGGAGCAACGCCGCGUGAGUGAAGAAGGUUUUCGGAUCGUAAAUCUCUGUUGUUGGUGAAGAAGGAUAGAGGCAGUAACUGGUCUUUAUUUGACGGUAAUCAACCAGAAAGUCACGGCUAACUACGUGCCAGCAGCCGCGGUAAUACGUAGGUGGCAAGCGUUGUCCGGAUGUAUUGGGCGUAAAGCGAGCGCAGGCGGAAUGAUAAGUCUGAUGUGAAAGCCCACGGCUCAACCGUGGAACUGCAUCGGAAACUGUCAUUCUUGAGUGCAGAAGGGGAGAGUGGAAUUCCAUGUGUAGCGGUGGAAUGCGUAGAUAUAUGGAAGAACACCCGUGGCGAAGGCGGCUCUCUGGUCUGCAACUGACGCUGAGGCUCGAAAGCAUGGGUAGCGAGCAGG